GUUUUGGGAUGCCCAAGGGAGCAUGGCGUGGAUCAAGUGGAGGACACCAAGAAGCCUUGUGUGUGAGAGCUUUUCACGUAGAGAUAGAUGAGACACCUCUUCUCCAUAUCCUUUCUUUCUUACAACCAAGGAUUGGUUGUUAGAUCUAUUUGAUUCUCUUGAAAAAAAGAUCAAAAAAUCAAGUCGAUUCGACAAUCCAAAAAGCGAUCUCUGCAAGGAAGCUAGCAUUUUGAUGAGAUUGAGACCUCCCGAUCAGAUCAUCCUCAGUGGAUAUCAAUAGAGGUCGGAUAUUUGUACGGCUAUAAUAAGAUCUCGAAGAUAUCCACAAACAAUCAGAUCACGAUGAAGAUCUAUCCGUGCAAAGGUGUGUGGAUGACAAGCCCUUUGUGCCAAUGCAUCGAGUCUCAAAGGAAAAAGCAAAAAGCUUAGGCAUUGACUAUAUUCCUCUAGAGACAAGCAUCAUGGAGAUUGUCGAAAGCUCAAGGGAGAAGGGGUUUGUUAGUUUUUAAAAAUGGGUUGAUGCAUGUUAAAGCUCUCCACUUAGUUGGGACAAUAUUUAAUGGCACUACAAAGAGUGCGAGAUACUUUAGCUCCAUCGAACCAAGAGAACUUUCAACUUUGUUUUGUGCAACUAUGCAACCUUUGCUUUAUUUAUUACUGAGACAUUUUCUAGUAGAUAUUUUUAUAUGUCUACUAUGUUUGAUUGUGUUUCUAUGUCUAUAGUGAUGUUUUUCUGACUAUUUAUAGGGUCAAAUAUAGUAUGCGCUGAAUUUCCCUUGACUUU